CUGGGGGAAGGACAGGAAAAGAACAUUUUCAGACCACAUGUGUUUUGUGGAAGAAAGAUUCUAGCUAUGCAAAAAGAGAUUGUAUAAUGAGCCAUCCACAUACAUAGGAAGAAAAAAAGCAGGUUAUCCUGAAUGAAACUAGUAUUGACUAUUUUUGUUUUGGCCUUCUGGCUUUUUACAAAUCUAGAUCAGGCAGAGAAUGUGGCCUUAGCUAGGUGACAAGACAGGUAGAACGGACACUCAUCUGCUUUCCCAUGGUGUGUUUAAUAUCUUCCCAACUGGCGAUUGUCUGGCCAGGUGAACUUAUCCCACUUGCGGCACUUCAUUUACCUGGAUACAGUAGGAGAUCUCUUCACACCCUAAAAAACUGGGCACCAGAUCCUGUGGAAAUUGGCAGGCCUGGGAAUUAACUUCAGUUAACUGGACUAGUUAAACCCCACUGAAAUCCUCUUCUGAUGCCUCACAGGAAAUUAGCCAGGAUUCUUUAAGGAAGAAGAGCAGGCCCAGUGUCUAGCCCACUAGCACAGUGUCUGGUACAUAAAGAUGAGCCCAGUAAUUGCUAGUUAAAUUAAAUUGAGUGAAGCACCUUGUGGUUCAAGAAGGUUUCUGCCUACACCAUUAUUGUCUGCCUUAUCCAUUAAGCAGUAAGACAUCUUGAACUGGAGCGAUCAGACUGGCUUGGUCAGCCCUGACAUACUACAUUUGGCAUUUAAGGAUCUCUGCAAUCUCACAGGAUUCAGACGUGGAAGCAGCCCCAGAGCUCAACACUCCAACCCCCUUGCAGAUGGUGAAGGAGGGGAGGAGGGGGAAGAAUGACCAGCUCAACUAGCAAGGGACAGAUCCAAGAGGGAGGUUAGAAACAGGAAAGUCAUGGGCUUCAAGCCAGGAAGGAGAAGACACUGAGGAAGAAAAGGAAGCAGAAAAGGAAGAAAAAAGCCAGCAGUGACAAACUUCUUAACCUCACAAUUUUGCCUGCCCUAUUUUUCAUCUGUCUAGGGGGCAAAGGGGAGCUGUUUGAUAAGGAGUAUACCUAAACGAAACCCAGUGGAAAUGAAAUCCAAUAUUGAAGAACCUUGCUGGAACCCUCUGUGCUAUAAGUUAAGUCCAUUUCUUCACAACAUAUAUUGCAUACCUCAUCAUCAUCAUCAUAAGGAAUAUGAAAUUAGAGUAUCAUUAUCUUUACCUGAAAAAGUAAGAACUCUCCACCAUCCUGAUUUUCAAUUACUCUUUUAAAACAAA